AACGUAGGACACAAGCGUUAUCCGGAGUUACUGGGCGUAAAGGGCGUGUAGGCGGACCUAUAAGUCUAUUCUGAAAGCUCCUGGCUAAACUGGGAGAGGCGAAUGGAGACUGUAGAUCUAGAGUGAGGAAGAGGAAAGUGGAAUUCCGCGUGUAGUGGUGAAAUGCGUAGAUAUGCGGAGGAACACCGAUGGCGAAGGCAAUCCCCUGGACCUGUACUGACGCUCAUGCACGAAAGCGUGGGGAGCAAACAGG
rnacentral:rRNA from 1 species